UACGAAGGGGGCUAGCGUUGCUCGGAAUCACUGGGCGUAAAGGGUGCGUAGGCGGGUCUUUAAGUCAGGGGUGAAAUCCUGGAGCUCAACUCCAGAACUGCCUUUGAUACUGAAGAUCUUGAGUUCGGGAGAGGUGAGUGGAACUGCGAGUGUAGAGGUGAAAUUCGUAGAUAUUCGCAAGAACACCAGUGGCGAAGGCGGCUCACUGGACCACAACUGACGCUGAGGCGCGAAAGCUAGGGGAGCAAACAGG
rnacentral:rRNA from 1 species